GAGAAAGCCCUUGCAUGGAAAUGAAGACCCAACACAGCCAAAAAUAAGUAAAUUAAUUAAUUAAUUUUUAAAAAAUUAUAAGUAGCUUUGUGGGACCCUAGCUGCUAAGUCUCCACUAGUACCUACUUAUUGGCUGGAGGUAGUUGUCUUCUGGUUGGAAAAGAAAAUAGAAUUUUCCCAUGUGUUUCUAGUGUUUGAAACAAGAGUUUUGAUCUGAUUGACAGUCUGUCUACCCUCUCCUGUGUGAGGAGUGGGAACAUGUCGCAGCUGUUUUUACUUAGGAUUUGCACUUCUGCUGUGGUCCCAGCCACCAGUAGGCACCACCUUGGUGUCCUGUGCCAGGAGCCGGGUCAUCCCUUGUGGCCGUUGGGGCCGGACCUGACUUCAUGGAGGGCAUCGGGUUGUUCCUAACACGCCACCCUCCAGAAGGUGCUGCUAGAAUUUCUGCCACAUGGUCCUUACGAAUCUGUCCUCUGGAGCGAGUUGCUGCCUUUCAGGCUCCCCUGAAAGGGGAUCGGGCCGGAGACAUUUGUGGGCUCUUCACCCUCAGUCAGUUCUCUCAAGGGAGAAAGAAGACGGGAGAUUCUAGAAUUAUUUCAAAGUUCUACUGGAAAGCCCCAAAGCAGAGUCAGGGCGGCAGCUCUUCUGUGCAGUGACUUCCAGAGAGGAAACAAGUCCCAUCUGAAAUCCGAGACUCUGCACCUGUUACCCUCUUAGCGGGCUACAGGGAACUGGGCCUAGAGCUUCAGGAACUCAACCAGAACCUUCUGUGACAACCGUUUGAACCUUUGGUCUGUGGUUAUGUCCCACACAUAUGUCGUGUGAUUUGCUCCUUAUCUUUGCUGGUGCGUUCACAGGUGGUCUUAAGUUUAUAGCCUAAACUUAGGGCAGAGAAGAAGCGCUCGUCUGAGGUGCAGAGAGAGCACUUCUUUCGCCAGGUGGCCUCCGAUCCCCAGCUCCUGCCAGGUCUUUGCUCUUGAGAGAAAAUACUUCCACUGUUCCUUUUCACUGUGCAGAACUGCACGGAGCGGAGAGGUCUUCACAGUGACCUGACAAUGCUGGGGGGAAGCACACCCCUUCUGAUUGACCUACAGCAAACCAGCAAGGGGUCUCCACUGCCACGUGACCUCUGACCACGACCUUGUGGUGAGGGCAGUGCCCUUGAGCUGCUUCUCUGCUGAGAAAGUUCUUAGGCCCUUCGAGUGGAGGUGCCACCCCUGCCUCCGGUUGUGAUGUAGCAACGUGGAUUGUGUUGAGUCAACGGCAUGGGCCCUGCAGAGUGUCUGCUCCUCUGUCUGGCUACCAGCCAGUCCCUGCCUGUCCUCUUGCCCUUCCCCCCCAUGGCAAGUGGACACUCAGUCACGUUCCCUUUCCUUGCCUUUGCCUGAUCCACAGAACCCCGUGAAGGACUUGGGACAUGGUGUCAAGGACUUCAGCAGAGGAGAACAUUCUAAGGAAGGGCAGCAUGUGAAAGCAUCUCUUCUUUCCACAUUGCUCCUGGAGCUUCAGUUUCCUGGAACAGAGGGCUGCACCCCUCGUCUGGGCCCCCAUAGGCCCCGAGCAGAGCAGAGGAGCUGGCGGUGGAGCAGAUCAAGUCCUGGGCACAGCAGCUCUAGCUCGCUCGCUGGGCUUCUGCAGGCCCGGGGCGUGGAGCCAGCAGGCUGGAGCCAGGCAGCCUCCCGGGCCUCCUCACAGCCGCUUUUGAUAAAGCCCCUCUGUGCACAGGGUGGGGGGGCCCGGCCGGCUGGAGCCAGCUCACAUCUGGAGGCCAGCACAGGCCUGGGGCAGCCGGCGCGGCUGACAGUGGCGCCACCCCGAGCCACACGCCCAGCACUGGGUAAACAGCCCCGCGCCCACCCAGCAGCUCACCUUUCGCCCACAAGGCUGCCUUUCUUCUCGGACCCAGGACGAGGCCACCACGAACGUUCCUCCCGGCACAGGGCAGAACGGGCCGCUGACCUCGAGGCUGGGCCGAAAUCUGAAUCCAGGAGGCUCAGCGAGGACAGCCGCGGGAGUGAGUGGGACACACGUUAUACAAGAGGAAACCCUGGGGCGCUGACCCUGCCCUCCCAUCCCGGAAGGGUCUCUGAGGAAGUGACGCCCUGAACACAGAGCCGGAUCCGUGGCGACCGCGAAGAAUCUUCCCUUCCCGGCAGAGGCACCAGCCAUGCAAAGGCAGGAAGGCUGCCACACCACACCCCUAGGAAGCUGGAGGCUUUGCACGGGAUGCCCCGCUCUGGCCUGGCUUUCUCCUUUUGUGGAAAGGGAACAGUCGCCCGCCCACCCCCACAAGCGGGGAUGCUGUUCCUGGUGGUGGGUCAGGCCUCCGUGGACCCCCUCAAGUCCUGGAAGAUGAUCGUGUCUGCGGGCUUGGGGAGACGGAGAAGAGAGUGUAGACUGAACAGCUCUCCAACUCCAGACUUUGAGGCAGGAUCCUGAGGUACUUAGAAGGAAAUGACAAGCAGCCUCAUUUACAAUGGAAGGAAACUGAGGUACAACAACAAAAUAAUAAAAUCUAAUGCUUACUGAGCUCUUACUCCAAGCCAGGCACAGUGCUAAGCCCUUUGACCCAAGUUCUUUCAUUUAAUCCCCCCAACGAUCAUCACUGUCGGAAGCUAAUACCGUGACCCCUAUUUUACAAGUGUGGGAAUGAAGACUCGGGAGGUAAGUCAAGACCAUGCCUCCUGUUAAUGGGGGAUCUGGGAUGAGCAUGCAGAUCUGGCUUCAGAACCCAGAAUCAUAAACCCGGCACUUCCUGAGGGGAGGUGGGGGUAGGAGGGAAGGGAUGGGGGCCACCUGGGAGAGACAGACGAUAAGCCCUUGUCUGAGGGCUAAGGGCAGUGGAAUAAAUAAUUGCAAGAGUGAGGGACCCAGGGUCAGUUCCAUGUUCUUCCUACCCUGGAUGGCCCAGGGCAGUUUGGAGAACCCCGAUUCUAGCCCACCCCAGCAACCUAGAAUUUACUCUGCUUUGUUCAUUCAUUUAUUCCUUCAUUCAAUCAUUCAGUCAACAGAAAACAAAAUACAGGAUGACACAGAUCAAAUAUAUCCCUGUAAACAAUAAAUGUAAAUGGGUUGAAUGGUCUAUUAGAAAACAAAGACUCAUAUUAGAUCAAAAAUCAAAAUCUAUUCACUUAUUCAUGGGCCAAAUAUUUAUUAAAUGCCUAAAAGAUUCAAGGUCCUGUUUUAGAAUCUAAUGAUAGAAUGUAAAAAUAAAAUUUCUGUUAAAGAAGGAAAAACACUGGGGAAAGGAGAUCCAGGGAGAGAGAUCUGAAGGUGCAAAAACUGUGAGGCUGCAAUGAGUUGGAGGAUGGAGUAGCCGAAAAGGGGCCGGUGUGGUUGGAGAAGAGCACUAGUGAGCAAGCGUAGGGGGGUGAGGCAGGCAAGGCCUGCCAGGUCAGGUCCGGAGAGCAGAGGCAGCACCAAGGGGGGCCGAGAUGCAGAGGAGCCGGGUCCUGCUUACCUAGAGCUGUGGGGCAGCGACCGCUCCUCACUCUCCCAGCAACCCCAGCUGGGACUCUUGACCCUUCCCCAACUGAAUGCAGCCAAGAUGACCUCGCCCAGCCUCCUCCCAGGGAAGAAGACUUACCAUGAAUUGAAGGCCUACUGGGUGCAAGGCUCUGCCAUGGGUGGUUUACAUGCUUAAUUAGCUCAUUAAGUCCUGCCAUCAGGUUAGUUUUCUCCCAUUCUGCAGAAGAAAAAAACUAAGCCUCAGAGAGGUAGAGUGACCUGCCUGAAGCCACACAGCCAGACAAUGGCAGGCCUGAAGUUUGAACUUGGGGUAUCCAACCCUAUGGUGUUUCUUCCUGGCACUGCAUAGCUGCCUCCCAGGAAAUGGCAGUGGAGAGGUCUCAGCUGGCUGUGUCCUCACGUGGGUCCCCUGACCUCUACGACUUCAAUUCUCCAUCUGGGAACCCGCAUGCCAGGUCAGUGUCGAGACCUAGAUGACUCCCUCCCUCUGGGAUGUGGAGUUCCAACGUGCUGAGCUGGCGCUUCUGAUUCCACCCCCACAAUGACUCCAUUUGACAGAGGAGGAAACUGAGGCUCAGAGGGGGAAGUGAUUCUGCAGGGUCACAGCCUUGGGACUCCCGAGGGCCUGGGACUUUUGUGAGUCUGUUCAUUGGAUGCUAAGAAUGAGGACCCCCCCAAGGAUGCAGAGACUUUGGGAUGGGGUGGAGGGACAGGAACAAGGAUACACAGGCAAUAAGGGAGAGCAGGCCUGGAACCCAGGACACCAGCUCCCAGCCUCUGCCCCUCACUGCAUCCUGGGGAAGGCGGGGGCCUGGCCCCUGGGUCCGGAUUAUUUCCUGAGAACGGGGAGGGGCCACGGGAAGUCUCCCCGCAUCAUCCCACUCAGGUCCUGCCCAAACAGGAAAUGCCAGGCAGUCCCCCCACCCACACCCCAGGGCCGUGGGAAAGCUUUGCCUGGGAUCCAGUGCUUCCAGCUCUGGCCCAGCCUCACUGGGGAUCUAGACCCUAACAGGGCCUGCGUGACCUUGGACAAGGUCCUUCCCCUCUCAGGGCCUCAGUCUCCCGCUCUGUAGUCACAGAACUCUGCCACCUCCCGGCUGUAUGACCUCAGGCAGGUGUCUGUGCCCUUCUGAAGCCCAGCUCCCUCUUCUGUAAAGUAGGGGACGGUACACACAGAGUGUGCUCCACCCACGGAG